CCUACGGGGGGCAACAGUGAGGAAUAUUGGUCAAUGGGCGCGAGCCUGAACCAGCCAAGUCGCGUGAGGGAUGACGGUCCUACGGAUUGUAAACCUCUUUUGCCGGGGAGCAAGCGUGCGUUCGUGAACGCACGUCGAGAGUACCCGGAGAAAAAGCAUCGGCUAACUCCGUGCCAGCAGCCGCGGUAAUACGGAGGAUGCGAGCGUUAUCCGGAUUUAUUGGGUUUAAAGGGUGCGCAGGCGGCCUGUUAAGUCAGCGGUAAAAGCCCGGGGCUCAACCCCGGCGAGCCGUUGAAACUGGCGGGCUGGAGUUGGAGAGAAGUACGCGGAAUGCGCGGUGUAGCGGUGAAAUGCUUAGAUAUCGCGCAGAACCCCGAGUGCGAAGGCAGCGUACCGGCUCCACACUGACGCUGAGGCACGAAAGCGUGGGUAUCGAACAGGAUUAGAUACCCGAGUAGUC
rnacentral:rRNA from 1 species